rnacentral:rRNA from 1 species
CCUACGGGCGGCAGCAGUGAGGAAUAUUGGUCAAUGGGCUUACGCCUGAACCAGCCAAGUCGCGUGAGGGAAGACUGCCCUAUGGGUUGUAAACCUCUUUUGUCAGGGAGCAACGCCGGCUACGUGUAGCCGGACUGCUAGUACCUGAAGAGAAAGCAUCGGCUAACUCCGUGCCAGCAGCCGCGGUAAUACGGGGGAUGCGAGCGUUAGCCGGAUUAGUGGGUUGAACGGGUGCGUAGGGGGAAUGCAGAGUCCGCGGUAAAAUCGCGGGGCUCAACCUCGCUCCGCAGUUGAAACUGGGGGUCUUGAGUGUGCGAGAAGUAGGCGGAAUGCGUGGUGUAGCGGUGAAAUGCAUAGAUAUCACGCAGAACUCCGAUUGCGAAGGCAGCAUACCGGCGCCCAACUGACGCUGAAGCACGAAAGCGUGGGUAUCGAACAGGAUUAGAUACCCCUGUAGUC